rnacentral:rRNA from 1 species
AACGUAGGUGGCGAGCGUUAUCCGGAUUUACUGGGCGUAAAGCGUGUGCAGGCGGCCUGUUAAGUGGUGUAUGAAAUCGCCCGGCUCAACCGGGCGGGGUUAUGCCAGACUGGCAGGCUAGAGGGUGGGAGAGGGAUGUGGAAUUCCGGGUGUAGUGGUGAAAUGCGUAGAGAUCCGGAGGAACCCCAGAGGCGAAGGCAGCUCGCUGGGACGGUACUGACGCUGAGGCGCGAAAGCGUGGGGAGCGAACAGG